rnacentral:rRNA from 1 species
AGUGAACGCUGGCGGUAGGCCUAACACAUGCAAGUCGAACGGCAGCACAGUAAGAGCUUGCUCUUACGGGUGGCGAGUGGCGGACGGGUGAGGAAUACAUCGGAAUCUACUUUUUCGUGGGGGAUAACGUAGGGAAACUUACGCUAAUACCGCAUACGACCUACGGGUGAAAGCAGGGGAUCUUCGGACCUUGCGCGAUUGAAUGAGCCGAUGUCGGAUUGGCUAGUUGGCGGGGUAAAGGCCCACCAAGGCGACGAUCCGUAGCUGGUCUGAGAGGAUGAUCAGCCACACUGGAACUGAGACACGGUCCAGACGCCUACGGGAGGCAGCAGUGGGGAAUAUGGGACAAUGGGCGCAAGCCUGAUCCAGCCAUACCGCGUGGGUGAAGAAGGCCUUCGGGUUGUAAAGCCCUUUUGUUGGGAAAGAAAAGCAGCAGGUUAAUACCCCGCUGUUCUGACGGUACCCAAAGAAUAAGCACCGGCUAACUUCGUG